UUAGUGUGGCUGCCGCCAGAAUUUGUCAUUAGUAUUUUUAAUUUUUGUUCAUAGCACCACCUAUUUUACAUGUGCAUCGCCCUUUAAGUAAUUUCUCUUUGUUACUUAAGAAAGAUUUACAGCGCAUGCCUAGCGCGGGUCAAUGUCAAUAAAAGGCCUACAAACACAUUUUUAGUACGCACGAGAAAAUAGUUCCAUACAUUCAAGCAUAAGAAAUAAGUUAUUAUCAUUAAUUAUGUACUGAAAUGUAAAGUAAUGUUCAUUGAAAUGCGAAUAACAUUAGUAAAUUCUGUCAAAACUAAAUCGUUGGUCGUUUUAAGUAAAUUCCAGUUGGACAAAUUAUUUGAUAUCCGUGUGCCGAUAAGUUCGGUGAACGCGUUGACCCUUGGCUUUUCUGAAUUACGACCUGGCCCAAGCAAUACGUGUUUUGUGGGGUCUUCAAGAAACGCCAAAGUUUCAAGGUAUAUUUUGCUGCCCAAGGAUGGAAAAGUCCUGCCAACGAGUUUUCACGGCACUGUUCAUCACUGUUACUUUGUUUUGACAAUCGUUAAGUCAAAUAAAGACAUUCGUCACCAGAAAAUGAA